AACGAACGUUGGCGGCAUGCCUAACACAUGCAAUUCGAACGAGACCUUCGGGUCUCGUGGCGCACGGGUGCGUAACUCGUGGGAACCUGCCCUUAGGUUCGGAAUAACUCCCCGAAAGGGGUGCUAAUACCGGAUAAUGUCUUUGGUCCAACGAUUUAUCGCCUUUGGAUGGGCCCGCGUUGUCUUAGCUUGUUGGUAGGGUAAAAGCCUACCAAGGCGACGAUCCAUAGCUGGUCUGAGAGGAUGAUCAGCCACACUGGGACUGAGACACGGCCCAGACUCCUACGCAAGGGAGGAGAGGGGAAUAUUGGACAAUGGGAGAAAGCAUGAUCGAGCAAUGCCGCGUGAGUGAUGAAGGCCGUAGAGUAGUAAAGCUCUUUUACCCGGGAUGAUAAUGACAGUACCGGGAGAAUAAGCUCCGGCUAACUCCGUG
rnacentral:rRNA from 1 species